rnacentral:lncRNA from 1 species
UCACCAGGUACAUAUAUACUGAGUGCUGGGCUAGUUUCUGAUGAUGCAGAAAUGAAUGGCUUUAUUGUCUUCGUCCUCAAGGCCCUCAUGGUCUAGUGUAGAAGACAGACUGUAAAUAUUUACCAUUCAGUACGAUGUGUGCUGUUGCAGAGCGUGGCUUGGGCGCUAUGGGGAACCAGAGGGCAUGGAGCCUGGUUUGGAGGGGCAGGGAAGACUUUCUGAAAUAUGGGAGACAAGUCGAAGCCUAUCUGACCAAGGCACCAUGCAGGAGGAGGCGGGACAUUCAUGGCACAAGGCCAGCAUGGCAGCAGUGUGAGGUGUGAUGGGUGUGACCCAUUCAAGGAACUGCCAGGUGCUCCAUCUGAACCAACAUGUCUGAGCUGGGGGCCUGGCAUGAGGGUCAUGCAGUCCUGUGGGUGCCAAAACAAGGUGGUUAAUUUUAUCCUAAAAACAAUUGGCAUCUACUGAGGAGUUUUAUUUGGGAAGAGGUAAAAUUAAAUUAGAAUGGGCAAUGUAUCUCUGGAAGCAGAGUGAAGGGGGAGCUGGAGGGGCAAGCCCAGAGGCAGGGCCAACACUGAGCUGCAUGGUCCCUGCGAUGGACAAUCUGAGCCUGAGGUAAACGGGCUGAUGUGGGACUGACGGAUGCAAGGUGACAGGCUGAGGCUAGGGACCGUCAUCACUCCCAGUCACACUGCAAGCUGCAGCAGGGUAGAGCCACAUCUGAUUUGUCCCCAGUGCCUGACCAGAGUUGGGGCUCAGUGUUUGUUGAGUGAAUUCUUACUGCAUGGCCAGGGUUUCUGGUCCUGGCAGCUGGGUGGAUGGAGGGGUCAUAUUGAGAAUCCUGGAGUGCAGUAGUAGCCAGGUGUGAAGAGUCAAGCAGGUCUGCAGCCUGAGGAUCAGCAUGGCAGCAGGAGGGUCCUCUGGGAGCUGGUCAUGAAUUUGAUAUGGACCAUGGGAUGGUGCCCACUUUUGUUUGUAUCCUGGGGUACAGAUCACAGCUCCAUGAAGGUUUGAGCUAGGCAGGUGAGCCACGCUGGGAGCAAAGAUGGUGGUGGCUAGGUACUUGCUUAUCCCUAUACCAAUCAGCAGGAUGUGGGUGGGGCCAGAUAAGAGAAUAAAAGCAGGCUGCCCGAGCCAGCAUUGGCAACCCGCUCGGGUCCCCUUCCACACUGUGGAAGCUUUGUUCUUUUGCUCUUUGCAAUAAAUCUUGCUACUGCUCACUCUUUGGGUCCACGCUGCUUUUAUGAGCUGUAACACUCACCGCGAAGAUCUGCAGCUUCACUCCUGAGCCCAGCAAGACCACGAGCCCACCGGGAGGAAUGAACAACUCCAGACACGCUACCUUAAGAGCUGUACCACUCACCGCGAAGGUCUGCAGCUUCACUCCUGAGCCAGCGAGACCACGAACCCACCAGAAGGAAGAAACUCCGAACACAUCUGAACAUCAGAAGGGACAGACUCCAGACACGCCACCUUAAGAGCUGUAACACUCACCGCGAGGGUCCACGGCUUCAUUCUUGAAGUCAGUGAGACCAAGAACCCACCAAUUCCGGACACAGUGCUGAGAAUCAUGCCUUGAAAUCUAGCAGCUCUGUUAAAAACUGAGCAAGGUGUACUUCGGGGUUGUGUUGAGAAGGUUGGUGUUCAGCUAAAUCAGGAGGGAAGGCCAAGGAAAAUCAGGCUUGGCACCUGUCAACAGGUGGGACCCAAUAGCCAAGCAAAUGGUCCUGCAAACUGUACUACCCAACGUUCACAGCAAGGAUUCCAACUUCUCACCAGGGCAUGGAAAAUUUGCCUUCAUGUCAACCACCACCUUAGCCCUUGACUACCCAACGGACUCUUCCCAAGUCAACAGCCACUUCCUCCCUGGGGCUUAACAGGCAUUCCUUGAAGCCUGCCCCGGGCAGUUAGUCCUUCCCUUUUGUGUGAACUCUCGGCUGUUUUCGUUGUCUGCACACAGAGCAGUGGUCUAGGGAGCGAAGGGUUUUGGAAUGGACCUUUUCCUUUCUUAGCUUGCUGUAGGGAUUGUGCUUCAGCUAAGUAAAGUGGAAAAACAGAAGUACAAAAGCAACAGCCCCAGAUCUAAGGGCACCGUAGCUCUGGAAUCUGGAUUUUAUUCCAGAUUCAACCCUCAGCAGGGAGUUGAAGUGGUCAGCCCUGUGCUUUACAAGGCUGAUUGGGCAGCACCCAUAGUAGAAUUGUCAAUAUAAAGUAAUUGAAAGGAUCAGAAUCCAGGGUUUUCGUUGUUUUUAAGUUUUUAAGUUUUAAAAACAAAGUUGUUUUUGUUCGUUUUUAAGUUUACUUCUCUUUAAUCGGUCUCACUUUAUUGACCAGGCUGGUUUCGAACUCCUGGGCUUAAGUGAUUUCUCCUGUCUCAGCUUCUCAAAGUGCUGGGAUUACAGGCGUGAGCCGCUGCACCCAGCCCAGAAUCCAGUUUUAAAGAGUUUAUUCAAGCCAAAAGCUGGGAAUGGCCAUCUGAGAAACACAGACUCUAGGAAAAUGGGGCCAGGGCCCUGAAGUUAAAAGUUAAAGUCUUGCUUACAUAGGCAGAAAGCAAAGACAUUUAGUAACCUUGUAGAACAUUUUCUUGUAUAACUUUUCUUGUUUUAACUUUCUUGUUUAACAUUUUCUAUGCAAGGCUGGUUUAUGAGUUACAACCUAUAAUUAAUUAUAGGUUGUUCCCCUGCCUCCACCUUGUUUUCUUUUCUCUACAGCUUGUUUUCAUUUCCUUUCCAAUUUAAGAAUGUGUUUAACAUUCUAUCCCAGACAAUGUGAUGGUCAUGAAGUCUCUGUCAGAGAGGAAAGAGGGAGUUAAUCUAUAAUGAAGAUCAACAGUGAAGAGGAAAGGGGUCUUCCCUGGAACGCUUCAGUCAUAUACGACAUUUUACACAACAAUAAUGGACCUGUGUAAGGAGGUAUGUGUGGGAGAAGAUUCCAGAAGGUCUUGAGACACUCCAGAUGAAGGUUGGUGUGGGGCUGUGCUGCUGGAGCACCAGAGAGUGAAAAGAGGUUAUCUCCCUCUGUGCCAGGCCAGAGUGCAGUGGUGCAAUCACGGCUCACUGUAGUCUCAACCUCCUGGGCUCAAGAGAUCCUCCCACUUCAGCCUCCCAAGCAGCUAAGACUACAGACAUGUCCUUAACCUUGGCACAACAAAUCUCUAAAUCGAUUGAGACCUGUCUCAGAUACUUCUUGGUUUACAAGAUGGAGGCUGAAAUUAAAGAGAAAGAUCCUCACUCAACUCACAGAGGAGCAGAAUGGGAAGAGGACUUAGUGAGAAUUCCCUGAACACAGGAGAAAACCGAAGCCCAGAGAGUGGAUGGCCAAGUCCAAGGUCACACAGCCAAGUGCAUCCGAGCAGCGCAGGAUCCAGGUUUCCUGCCCCAGUGCUCUUUCUGCAGCCCAUGCCACCUGUUUUCAUGCUAUCUCAGUUCACCUUCCAGCUACACACCUGCAAUCAGAAACAGAAAGUCUGAGAGUGUGUGUGGAGCCAAAGAGGGGACAGCAGUGGUUAGAAGCAAGGCACAAGUCAUACCUACAUUCAAGGAGAGGGGACCAUGCAAAGGAUAAACUGCAGGUGAAGAACUUGAGAGCUAUUUUAGAAGCUGCCUUCCACACUUUACAAUCUACUUUGCAGCUAUACUGAGCUCUUAGCAACUCCCUGGGCCUGCUGAGCACCUCUUGCCUUUCUGCCUUUGCGUAUGCUGUUCCCUCUGCCUGGAAUUCCAUGUCUUCUGCCUUUGCCCACCUCAUCUUAAGGCCUCUGCUUAGAUGCAAUUUCUUUGGGCUCUUAUUAGCAGCAUCCAAAUCUGUGCUGGUUUCUUCUCACGCUUACUCUGCAUCAUAAUUUUUCUGUUUACUCGUUAAUCCCCUCCCACUCCUGCCAGUACCUAAAGUAAAAUCUACACGGGCUUGGCACAUUGUGGAUGCUCAAUGAAGAUUUGUUAAAUGAGUGAAUGAUUAAAUGAAAUAAGCCCCAGCUUGGAACCCAGAGCUGUAAUUUCCGGUUGUGGUCCCUGUCCCCUGCCCAGGGGCUGUCUAAGGGCUCAUCUCUCCCAGGAGCCCCUGUAUCAUCUCAGUAACUAGACCAGUACCAUAUCCGACUUCCCCUGACUUUGAAAUAAUUUUCACCUGCAAUCAGGUGCGCUUCCCUAGAACCUCUCUCGCUGUUCUUUGCCUUUCUCCUUCCCCCGCCUUGUAUCUCCGUGGUCCUGCCAAAAAUCAGAAGCUCAUUAUUAAACCAGAAGCUUCCUUGCAUUAUCCCAGAGACUACAGACAGAAAAUAUUUGCUUCUAUCUCAACUGAGGACUGACAUAGUAAAGACUCCUUGAGAUGUUAGCUGUCAAGGAGGGGAAUAAAAGUUUUUCAUCUGCAUGAGUAAUUGUUUCCUGUUUUAUCCAGAGAGACAACAGAUUUACAUCCCAGACACAUUCACACUGGGCCAAGAGCAGCUGCCAUUGCAGAUUCGAGUCACGUCCUUUUUUCCUUCCUUCUCCUUCUUGGAGUUACAACAGAAGCUGGGGAGGUGAGAGUGCAGGUGAGAGAGGAGGGGGGCUCUGGAACAUGUAGCCUGUGAGGAGGGAAAUCAGGAUGGUGCUUGGGUGGAGGUGGGAGCUGGGCCAGGGUCUUGGCUGGUCAGGAAGGCUGGUGAAGCAUGUACUGGGGAGGCAGAGGUCCUGCUUUCUUUCCUCUCUUUCCUUCACACCUACCUCAACCCACUGUCGAGUCCUAUCAGCUCUGAAAUAGAUCCUUCCUCCAGCGCCUUCUCACCUCUCUCUCCACCAUUCCAGUCCAUGCCGCCUCAUCUCUUACUGGGACUUUCACAACAGCCUCCCGAGUGGUCUUGGCUUCUGCUCGCAAAUCCUGCAGUGCCUUCUCUGCGGAGCCACAAGCUGGAUCUUUUUAAUCCGCUCUCGGUUUCUCACAGCCCUUGGAAUGAAACCUUGGCCUACAGCCCUGUGUGACUUGCUGCCUGUCCUUACCUCCUAACCUCAUCUAAUAUCCCCUUCCCCUCCUCGUACCGGCCUUUCUGUUUCUCAGACACUCCAGGCUUGUUCUGCUCUUGGACCUUCACGCUGUCUUUCUGUCUCCUGGGAAUCUGUGCCCCCUCUGCCAGAUCAUGCAGCUGGCUCUCUCUGCCCAAAUACCCUCUUCCGAGGGGUCUUCCUUGGCCCUGUGUCUGACAUAGGUACCCUCCUCCAUCACUCCAGCCCAUUACAGUGCCAUAACACUUUUAUUGCCAUCUAGAGUAACAUCAGUUGGUUUUGUUUAUCAUCUGCCACCCUGCUAGAAAGGACGUGGAUGAAGCAGAGAGGCACGUGCCUGUCUCAUUCGCCUCUGGAUCUGCUGCAUCCAGGACUGUGCCAGCACAAAGUGGGAGCCCGAUAAAUAUUUAUUGAAGAAAUGAAAGGUGACAAAAGGCAGAAGGAGGGAGACCCCAAAAAGAGUUACACUGGAAGAAGAGCCCCUCCUUCCUUCAAGCCAAGUCAUCCCCUUGGGCUCUCACCACUUCAGUUUAUACCUUGCCUGUAGUCCAGUCUCUCCAGCAUCAAUUCCAUCAGCACAAAGACAUAAUUUAAUUCCUUCUACCUUAAAAAAAAAAAAAAAAAAAAAACAGCUCUCCCUCUCUUAGGGUGAGAUGAAGUGGUUGGCAACAGGCCAAUGCUACUUUCAGAGGCGUUUGAAUCAGAGUGACUCCAUUUUGAAUAGGGGUUGAGUAAAAUAAGGCUGAGACCUACUGGGCUGCAUUCCCAUGAGCUUAGGCAUUCUAAGUCACAGGAUGAGACAGGAGGUCAGCACAAGAUACACGUCACAAAGACCUUGCUGAUAAAACAGAUUGUGAUAAGAAAAGCCAGUCAAAACCCACCAAAACCAAGAUGGCGACAAAAGUGAUCUCUGGUUGUCCUCACUGCUGAUUAUUCACUAAUUAUAAAAUUAACAUGAUAAAAGACACUCCCACCAGCACCGUGACAGUUUACAAAUGACAUGGACACAUCAGGAAGUUACCCUAUAUGUCUAAAAGGGGAGGAGCCCUCCAUUCCAAUUGUCCACCCCUUUCCUGGAAAACUCAUGAAUAAUCCACCCCUUGUUUAGCAUAUAAUCAAGAAAUAACCAUGAAAAUAGCCAACCAGCAGCCCUCAGGGCUGCUUUGCCUAUGGAGUAGCCAUUCUAUAUUCCUUUACUUUCUUAAUAAACUUGCUUUCACUUUA